GGCCGAGCACGGGGAGGUGCGGGGCGGCGCGAAGCGGCGAGGGCAGACCGCGGGCGCACUCGGGGAGGCGCGGGACAGCGACGACAGGCCGCGGCCGAGCUCGGGGCAGCGCAGACCGGGGCCGAGGUAGGAGAUGGCCGGUGCCAGCGACGAGGUAGAGGGAGGCCGGCGACAGUGGAGCGAGGCACGGAGCUGCGAGCGUGCAGGAGCGGGAGGGGACCCUAAGCAUCUGAUACCAUGUUAGGAAUGGGCAACUCACAUUCACAGGAGGGCCAAGGGCCAAUACAUAUACAUGUGUAUGACAAAGGCAAGAAAGACUAUACACAUCUAACACUUUUAAAGUGUAAUGUGUAUUUUUUCUCUACCCAUCUUCUCCGUAGGGGAAUAAUAAUAUAUACUGCAUAGCCAUGAAUUUUGAAUGGUUCUCUGAUAUUCUUUGGUCUCAUGUCUGUGUACUAAACAAUGAUAUCUCAUCCUUUUCUAUUCUGUGUUGUAUCAUUCACAAUCAAGGCUGCAACUUCAGUUGCAGAUGGCAUGUCAUGUCGUCUUAAUCUCACGUUGUGAUAGACACCUUUUCAAGUUUAUCCUUUGCCAUUCUGAGUGUUUUAGCUAGUACAUGAUAUGGUUCCCUGUGGCAAUUCGACAAUGCUGAUUUGCCGCUGUCUUGGUUAAGCCAUACUACAUGGAAAUUUGUUCUCAUGUUGUUUGGACAAAGAAAUAAUUGAUAGCUACGGUCAGGACCAAAUGUAGCAUGUCUUUAUUUAUUUAAUACACCACUUUAAAUUAGUUGCAGAUCAUAUGGAACUGCAUAGGCGGACGGGCUUGAUAACCAUUUGUGGAUGGUAAACUCUGUAAGAUCAGAUAUUUGUACAUCAAAUACACUGGGUUAUUGAAGAAACUUUUGUAAGCCUGGAAAGAAUGGAAGACACAGAUAACACAAUUGUUGCUCAAAGCAGAAGCAAUCUGUAGUAUUGUUUCCAGUACACCUUACUACAGUCGUGCAUCAUGUAAGAGAAGUUUAGCAGUUGAAUUCAAAGAAGUAAAGAUAGUGGAUGAUAAUACACAUAAAGAAAUAAGUUUGUACAAUUUUCUUCGCUCACGUGGUUCAGAGAUUCUUCUUUUGGCAUAGUUGUGCAGUCUGGCGCAUCUCCAUCUAUGAUCGAAUGUUUUCUCAUUUUCUUGUCUUGAAGUUUCAUUCUCCUCUCCUAACUUGUCAUUGUUUAUUGACUGGACUCACAUCAGUAAGAAAUUAUUUGAAAUAUCUCUACUACUAUAGUACAACAAUUUUUGAAUUUGGCUAGCCAUCCGCUGCAGUGUAGAGGCAAUUUGGUAGCCGUUGAUUUGCUACACAGGGUGAAUCGCCACCCUUCAUCAGCACCGAACUUGAAUGAUCCAACGGUUGAUGUUUGUUGGAUUCGCGCCUGUACGGACGCGCGCCAAAACGCUCCCAACCUGGAUCUUUCCAGACUUGUCACAGCGCGCUACAUGCCUGCACCCAGCGGUCUGGUGCUGUUAAAAAGGAAAUUCCUUUCAAGUUACGAGCAGUUUUUACAUGUCAAAACACUCACAAGCAAACGUAGCAGCAAUUUGACACCACGUGCAUGGCACGUACCUUAUACUAGUUUUCCUGGUCCAAGCUUAAACCUACCCACGUGUGCCUACUUGAAUCAGAAAUCCAAGCUAAAUCUUUUUCUUAUAAUACCACAUAUUAAAGAUUCAUGGUUAGUAAUGGAUCAACUUGUUGUAUUGCAUAUUUGGUAGUUUUAACCACCUUGGCUGUUUUCUAACAUUUUUGCUAUGUGGCCCACCUUUUAUUUCCUUUGGUUCUUCCUGCACAGUGGAGAAGAUGAGAUAUUGUAAAAUCGCUGCGUAGUACUGCUCAAGGUUAUGAAGAUUUAUGCUUUUGAUAUUUUUUCUGCUUACAAAAUUUCGUCUUCGUUGUAGAAAGGAGAUCAACUUCCAAGGCCAGUGGAUGUUAAGUUCCAAUCUUCAUUUGAAAACACAAAUAUUAUGGUACUUGCCGGAGGUGGUCUGCUUGCUCGAUGGAGCCGAUGGCACAAUCAAGGAGAUUUGGACACUCGCUUGUGAGAGUUACUUUUUUUUAGGGAAAUCCAUUAUGACGGUGUAUAUUGAUUUGCAAUAAUAGCUACAUCAGCCAAAAGGACGGCAAGUUAAAAAGCUGGAGGUUGCUUGUCAUGGAUAUGAGUCCAACCUAUUGCGAGUUUUGUUUUUGGGACCGUGAGAUUGAUUGUAAGAUUGGUGUAAAGAACAUGACAUGGAUGGUAAAAUUGAUCGUGAGAUUAGUGUCUUCAUGGGAUAUGGGGAAAAAACAAAGGGCAUGUAUGGCUUGGAUGUUCAAGGAGUGAAGUCUGAUUUAAACC